CAGUAUUGAACCUGUUGCUGCAUUAGCCGAGUUGUAUUUUGCUAGAUAGGGGAAGGAGGGUUGUCUGCUGUCUGGUAGGAGGGCUUUGUCUGUGUGUGCCUUUCUCUCUCUCUCCCUCUUUCUCUCUCUCUCUCUCUGUCUCUCGCACUCUCGCUUGCUCGCUCUCGCUCUCUCUCUCGCUCUCUCUCUCCCUUUCCCGUCUCUGUGGUUUGUAAGGUAGGUUGCAGUGUGUGUAUAUACACAACAUCAAGAGCAGGAAAAUGGACUCAUUAGGGAGGCAGGCAGUCAUUACCACUCACACUGUACUUCCAGGGAGACAGCGACUAUGAGGAGACAAACUGAGGACUGGGGAACAAGCAGCAUAAAAAAGAAGUGUUAGGAGCUGCUCUUAACCCUUUCGGAGUCCGAAGUCAAAAGGGAACCAGAGGGCUUGACACAUCCUUUACAUCCUGCAUUUACUCUGACCACAGUCCCUCCCUGUUCUCACAAGUGGAGCUCAGCCCUGCUUCCCUUCCUGUUGAUUCCCAGUCAGCUACAUGGGCAAUGGGACUUAGCCAAAAUUGGGCUGGAAAGGAUGGCAAAAAAAGAAAAAAGAAAAGAAAGAAAAGAAAAAAAAUGAAUUAGAGUAUACAAGAAUGACCUACUUAAAAAAAAUUAAAUUGGAAAAAAAGACUAAUGGCUCAUAGCUAUGGGAUAAUGGAAUUUGGGACACUGGUGACUACACUUCAUCCUAAUCUUGCUUUUAAUUGACAACAGACAUGUUUGUGCUUUAUUAUGGAAGGACCUUGUGAACAACAUACCUUUGCUGCGUGAACCACUCAUCUUUUUUAUGAUGCUGUUCAGAGCAAGUAGUUCAUGAUUGCUUUGCCCGGCUCUAGGAUUUUCAUUUGGAUCCAUUUGUACUGAUUCUGAGGGAAAUUCAGUCCAAUAUUAAAAAAAGAAUAAAAGAAAGAAAAAAGAAAAAGCCCCCUCCA
rnacentral:lncRNA from 1 species